GUGUUUUCACUCAUGUAAAUCAGUCUCUCUGAGGAUGGCUAUUCAGCUGAAACGUUAGAGAUUAAAAGAAUCCUACCUCCUCCCUGGGUUUUAUCCCCCUUCCUAAACCCAACUACUCUGGGAUAUAUUUCAUCUGGUCUUGGUGUCUUGAACUUUCUUAGCCUAUCUAUCACCCGUUCCACUAUCUCCUUAAUUAUGGUAAUAUCUUUCAGCUUCUCAUUCUCUUCUGCUCUAAAAAUUUCACUAUCCAGCAUUUCCUGCAUGUUUUCCUGGGUGAAGACAGUUAAAAAAUACUUCUUCAGAAUUUUACUAAUCUACUCCCCAGAACUAACCAGCAACCUCAAUCCUCACCAAACUUGUAGAACAAUCAAGCACUUUCAUUCAUUGAUGAUACAAAAUUCAUUUCUUGGAUUGGAAUUUAGACUAUCAGUUGUCAACUGGUUUUAAAGUGAACCCUAACUUUCAUUAUGAAAUCAGAAGCAUCUGAGAUCACUGUAGCACAAUGGUGAUAAGGCAGCAUAGUGAAAACUGUGAUGACAAAAUGAUUAUGCUUAUGAAGUGGUUAGUCUAGAAAUAGUUCUGAUAUAAAUUAUAAAACUUGUGGCAUGCAGUGAAGCAGAAUUUAUAGAGAAAGGGUGUCAGUUCUUUCCUUCCAAGCACAAAGUUUGUCUCUCAUCAGUGGUAUUACACAUUACCAACAAAUAGAAACAAAAGUGUUCAAAAUUGUUAUUUCUGACUCAAAUCACUCCAAUAUGCCAUUCAAAAAUGGUGAAAAAAAAUUGAAAGAAUGUACAGAUUUAUAAAUGCUUAUCAAAGCUUUAAUUAUGCUUCAUUCUGUCUCUCAAAUCUCUAAUAUUAGAGUUACUAGUUUUAAAAGAUUGGACUCCCAACUUUUUUUUACAAGGCCCAUGGAUCUCAUUUGGAGGAAAGUAGAGACAAGGAUUUAAUAUGGUAUACAUUCACAUUUUGAAUCAUUCCAUCACAUCUCAACCUCCAGGCUAGAUAUACAGAAGAUGGUAUAACUAUUAAUCAUAUGACCUUAAUCAUGUAAGAUUAAAAUGGAAAUUAAAAAAGCUCUUCCCUGGCAGGCAGUGAGGUUAAAAAAGCUUUUCUCUGGCAGGUGGUGAGCUACAGCUACCUGGCUGCACCUCAAGGCCAAAGCCACUCCAAAGAUGUGGUCCAUGGGUCUGGUGCAGCAGCCAAGCCUCCUUCCUCUGGCCACAGCUUCUCUGCCAGAUCUCCAACUCUUAGCCAGACACUUUGACUGGAAAUUCAGAAAUCUGGUCAUACAGCAGCUCCUGGCCAUGCCUCAGACCAUACUCACCUCAGCACUACACCACCUGUUAUUACUGCCUUUGAGUCCUCAAAAUUAUCUCACAUUUCCCCUUCCCCAUUAGUCCAUUCCUCAUCAUUCUCUGCACCAUCACCUUUUUUCUCCUCAUCCUUCUCACCUUCUGCUCACUCAUCAUCUCCCCCACAACCAUCACUCCCUCCUGCUUCUCCAUUUACUCAUCCUGAAGCCAUAUUUGCCAUGCACCAAACUUCUGCCACAGUUCACCCUGCUGAUCCCAGCCAAUUUAUCAUCAAGGACUCCACUUUCCAGGAGGCUCUGGAAUGUAACUCCCACAGAUGGCAAGGAAACACUGCAUAUCUUCCCUCCCACAACAGCGAUGCACUUAAUGAAUUGGGCCGAGAUAAUUAGUGAAAGCUUUCUGUGUUAAAGAGAUGCAGCUAGUGAGCCAAUAUAUAUACUGAUCGUUCAUUUAAUCCUUUAUGUCAUAAAACUUCUCUGAAAAAAUCUAGUGAAUAAUUUUUCCUCUAUCACUGCACUGUCCUUGAUCUAAAUUACAUAUUAAAACUACACAUGAUAGUGUAAUGAUCAGUAUGCUUGGCUCACAAACCACAUAUAUAUAUAUAUAUAUAUAUAUAUAUAUAUAUAUAUAUAUAUAUAUAUAUAUAUAUAUAUAUAUAUAUAUAUAUAUAUAUAUAUAUAUAUAUAUAUAUAUAUAUAUAUAUAUAUAUAUAUAUAUAUAUAUAUAUAUAUAUAUAUAUAUAUAUAUAUAUAUAUAUAUAUAUAUAUAUAUAUAUAUGCUUGGCUUUGUCUCCAAACUCUCCCCCAUAGAGAGACUGUAUUAACCUGCAGAAAUAAAGCUAUCAUUCAGGGAAACUGGUUUGUUUGCCAAACAAACAUUACAUUGCUGAAUAUUCUGUGGCACCAAAUGCUUUGUCAGGAAUUGUGGCAAUGAUAUUUCAAUCCUUGUCUUUGCAUCCUACAAUUUGUAUGCUGAACAUAAACCUUAUCAACAAG